AACGAACGCUGGCGGCAGGCCUAACACAUGCAUGUCGAACGCUCCAGCAAUGGAGAGUGGCAGACGGGUGAGUAACACGUGGGAACCUACCCUUUGGUUCGGAAUAGCCCAGGGAAACUUGGGGUAAUACCGGAUAAGCCCUUUGGGGGAAAGAUUCAUCGCCGAAGGAUGGGCCCGCGUCGGAUUAGCUAGUUGGUGGGGUAACGGCCUACCAAGGCGACGAUCCGUAGCUGGUCUGAGAGGAUGAUCAGCCACACUGGGACUGAGACACGGCCCAGACUCCUACGGGAGGCAGCAGUGUGGAAUAUUGGACAAUGGGCGCAAGCCUGAUCCAGCCAUGCCGCGUGAGUGACGAAGGUCUUCGGAUUGUAAAGCUCUUUUGGCGGGGAAGAUAAUGACGGUACCCGCAGAAUAAGCCCCGGCUAACUUCGUGCCAGCAGCCGCCGUAACAC
rnacentral:rRNA from 1 species